rnacentral:rRNA from 1 species
UAACCCGCCACGCUUAGCGCGUGGGGAGACAGUGUCAGGUGGGCAGUUUGACUGGGGCGGUCGCCUCCUAAAGAGUAACGGAGGCGCCCAAAGGGUCCCUCAGAAUGGAUGGAAAUCAUUCGCAGAGUGUAAAGGCACAAGGGAGCUUGACUGCGAGACUGACAAGUCGAGCAGGGACGAAAGUCGGGCUUAGUGAUCCGGUG